rnacentral:rRNA from 1 species
AACGAACGCUGGCGGCAUGCCUAACACAUGCAAGUCGAACGAGACCUUCGGGUCUAGUGGCGCACGGGUGCGUAACGCGUGGGAACCUGCCCUUAGGUUCGGAAUAACUCCCCGAAAGGGGUGCUAAUACCGGAUAAUGUCUUCGGACCAAAGAUUUAUCGCCUUUGGAUGGGCCCGCGUUGGAUUAGCUAGUUGGUAGGGUAAAAGCCUACCAAGGCGACGAUCCAUAGCUGGUCAGAGAGGAUGAUCAGCCACACUGGGACUGAGACACGGCCCAGACUCCUACGGGAAGCAGCAGUGGGGAAUAUUGGAAAAUGGGCGAAAGCCUGAUCCAGCAAUGCCGCGUGAGUGAUGAAGGCCUUAGGGUUGUAAAGCUCUUUUACCCGGGAUGAUAAUGACAGUACCGGGAGAAUAAGCUCCGGCUAACUCCGUG